AUUGGGAUCUAAAGCCUGAGGUGGGGAGUGUGUUUCAUCAAAGGUAUAACUCUCACAUGAAAUUAUCAAAAAUACAGUUUUUUUGGUAUUUUUCGUCCAAAAGGCGUCUGUCUCAAGAGCAUCAUCAUGUUAAAAUAAACACCCUGGCCAGUUUAUAUUAACCUCUUACUGCAGAAGCGCUCUCUGGCGGCCCGUCGGCGGGCCUGUUCUGCAUAUAUACAGUAGAACGCUUCAAAGCGUCAAAUUUUUUAACACAGCGUCCAAAACACACACUAACUUUUUUUGGCUACAUGCAUAAGUUACACAUUUUCAGCCAUCUACACGCAAUCUAUCGCCAGAAAUCUCAAUCUGAAGGUAGCCUGUUAUUCCAUACUGUUUCCACAAGGACCCACCUCCCCAACAACACAAAUAUGCUAAUGAGGUAAAAAAAAAAAAAACCUUCAGAUUUCUUCAUAAAAAAAUAUUUACCUUCACAGCAGCUCGAAAGCACCGCUGAACAGCAGAUUAAAUGUCCGUAAAGUCCUGUAAUCGCCUACUUACGUCUUCCCAUAAGAGUCUUAUUUCCAACAUAACCGUAACAUGAAAUCCCCAAGCACUGUCGUUGGCUAAAAACACCUGCUUUUGUUUAAAUCAUCGCCUUUCCCCCAAAUGCCGUGCGCGAUGGAACGCGUAGUAUCCGUAGGUUCGACUCCAAUCUUACUCAAUUACAGGAACAUGUAGCUAGGUCACUUGCCCCGAUUGGUCACCUACAACAUGGGGGCGGGGACUCCGGGGACUGUUUCCCAUUCAGCUCUCCAUACUAGCUAUGGUUAAGGUGUAUAUAUUUAUUUUUCUGGAGUGAUUUUAGAAAUCCAACACUUCUGAACAUCAUAGCAAUGAGGAUAAUUACUCUAAAAUAAAAAAAUAUAUAUAUAAAAACAAGCCAAAAAAGUAUUUAUUUUAAAGAGUUCUUUUAAUUGUGCAUAUUAUGGUCUCUGGAGACGCCUGGUGGACAGGUGUUGUAAAUGCUGUUAAAAAACAAAAUCAUGGAAUAACCAACACUGGAACGAAAUCCCGGAAUACUUGCUUGCUGGUCUGUUUACCUCUCAGCUCGUUUAGAUCGCACGUAUUUAAGCAUAAUGAAGAAAAGAAGAAGAAAACCAGUUGACGAUGCAGUGCAGCAAGUCAUCAGUGGAACAGACAAGACUCAUUUACUCCAGAGCAGGAAAUUCAACCCUUACAAAGGUAAGUGUGAUGUAAAUUAUGAAAACAAGUGUAUGUACAUUGGCUAGUAUAUCUAGUAGGCUAAUUAGUUGUUUGCAUCACUAGCAUAGACAUUCAUAUUGCAUCCAGUUUGGUGCUGUUUCUAAAAUAUAUUCAACCACUGU
rnacentral:lncRNA from 1 species